rnacentral:rRNA from 1 species
CCUACGGGUGGCAGCAGUGAGGAAUAUUGGUCAAUGGACGAAAGCCUGAACCAGCCAUGUCGCGUGCAGGAAGACGGCUCUAUGAGUUGUAAACUGCUUUUGUACGAGGGUAAACGCAGAUACGCGUAUCUGUCUGAAAGUAUCGUACGAAUAAGGAUCGGCUAACUCCGUGCCAGCAGCCGCGGUAAUACGGAGGAUACAAGCGUUAUCCGGAUUUAUUGGGUUUAAAGGGUGCGUAGGUGGUGGGAUAAGUUAGCGGUGAAAUUCCGUGGCUCAACUUCGGAAUUGCCUCUGAUACUGGUUGACUUGAGAGUAGUUGCGGUAGGCGGAAUGUGUGGUGUAGCGGUGAAAUGCAUAGAGAUCACACAGAACACCGAUUGCGAAGGCAGCUUACCAAGCUACUUCUGACGUUGAGGCACGAAAGCGUGGGGAGCAAACAGGAUUAGAUACCCCUGUAGUC